AUUGAAAGCUGGCGGAAGGCAUAAAACAUGCAAGUCGAACGAGUGGCGGACGGGUGAGUAAUGUCUGGGAAACUGCCUGAUGGAGGGGGAGAACUAAUGGAAACGGUAGCUAAUACCGCAUACCAUCAGAUGUGCCCAGAUGGGAUUAGCUAGUUGGUGGGGUAACGGCUAACCAAGGCGACGAUCCCUAGCUGGUCUGAGAGGAUGACCAGGCACCCUGGAACUUAGACACGGUCCAGACUCCUACGGGAGGCCGCAGUGGGGAAUAUUGCCCAAUGGGCGCAAGCCUGAUGCAGCCAUGCCGCGUGUAUGAAGAAGGCCUUAGGGUUGUAAAGUACUUUCAGCGGGGAGGCGUUACCCGCAGAAGAAGCACCGGCUAACUCCGUGCCAGCAGCCGCGGUAAUAC
rnacentral:rRNA from 1 species